CAUUCUCUCACCCAGGGGUGUGAAUCCAUGACCUGUGGGCAGCACGCAACCCAGGAUGGCUAUAAAUGCAGCCGGACACAAAAUCGUAAAUUUACUGGAAAGUUUUUGUGCUCAUAGGUUUUUGUUAGUGUUUGUGUAUUUAAUGUGUGGCCCAAGACAACUCCUCUUCUUUCUGUGUGGCCCAGAGAUGCCCGAAGGUCUGACACACCCUGCUAAAGAAAUGCCAGGAGAUUUCUCCAUUUCCAAACCUUAAGGCAAACUGGCUUCCUGGAGUUUGUGACUACAAGCUUUGACUGUGUUUGAACAGUGGGAGCCUGUGGCUCUUUAUGUUCAGGAGAAUGGCCUGUGCAUUGACAGUGGAGCGAACUGACAGCAGUGAUCCAUUUGCUCUGUGCUAACCUUGCCCAGGACCCUGGUGGCAGAGAGUAUGCAUUUGCCGGAAGUCUUCUGUGAUCCAAAGUACAGACGAACAUGGAGACCCCAAAUCCACAGGACACGGGCCCUCACAAAUGAAGCAGAAAGCAUAUAAAAAGAAACUUCAUUUUAAAGGCAUCUACUUCACCAAGAACAGGGCAACUGGAUUGUUCAGCCAGUUUUACAGAAAGAAGAAGCCAAUAUUGGGAUCAUCUUCGACUUGUCCAUUUGGAGAUAAUACCAUCUACUCAGCUGUAGAAGGGUGGAAAGCUUUUAUUCGGAACAAUGAAUUUCAUUAAGGAGAACAGCCAAGCUCUCAUUCAAAGGAUGGGAAUGACUGUUAUAAAGCAAGUUGUAGAUGAGCUCUUUGUGUGGAAUGUUCUGAAUUUUGAAGAAGUAAACGUCAUUUGCUGCAAGAAGGUCGAGCAGGACGCUGCAAGAGGGAUCAUUCACAUGAUUCUGAAGAAGGGCUCAGAAGCCUGUAACCUCUUUCUGAAAUCCCUUGAAAGGUGGAACUAUCCUCUGUUUCAGGACUUGAAUGGACAAAGCCUUUUUCAUCAGAUGUCAGAAGAAGACUUAGAUGAUUUGGCUGAGAAUUUAAAAGAUUUAUACUACUCCCCGUCUUUUCUGAAUUUCUAUCCCCUGGGCGAAGAUAUUGACAUUAUUUUUAAUUUAAAAAGAACCUUCACAGAACCUGUUUUGUGGAGGAAGGACCAACACCAUCACCGUCUGGAGCAGCUGACCCUGUGUGGUCUGCUGGACACUCUGCAGAGCCCCUGCAUUGUUGAAGGGGAAUCAGGCAAAGGGAAGUCCACACUGCUACAGCGAAUCGCCAUGCUUUGGGCCUCUGGAGAGUGCAGGGCUCUUACCAAGUUCAAAUUAGUCUUCUUUGUCCAUCUGAGCAGGGCCCAGGGUGGGCUCUUUGAAACCCUGUGUGAUCAGCUCUUGGAUAUACCUGACACAAUCAGAAAGCAGACUUUCAUGGCCAUGCUGCUGAAGCUGCGCCAGAGGGUUCUUUUCCUCCUUGAUGGCUACAAUGAAUUCAAGGCCCAGAACUGCCCUGAAAUUGAAGCUCUGAUAAAGGAAAACCACCGCUUCAAGAAUAUGGUUGUGGUCACCACCACCACUGAGUGCCUGAGGCACAUCAGGCAGUUUGGUGCCCUGAUUGCAGAGGUGGGGGACAUGACGGUGGCGAGUGCCCAGGCUCUCAUCCGGGAGGUGCUGAUAACGGAGCUUGCGGAAGGCUUGGUGCUCCAGAUUCAGAAAUCCAGGUGCUUGAGGAAUUUGAUGAAGACUCCGCUCUUUGUGGUCAUCGCUUGUGUAAUCCAGAUGGGGGAAAGUGAGUUCCACUCUCACACACAAACAACGCUGUUCUGUACCUUCUAUGACCUGCUGAUACAUAAAAACAGGCACAAGUGCAAAGGGGUUGCUGCGAAUGACUUCACUCGGAGCCUGGACCACUGUGGAGACCUAGCUCUGGAGGGCGUGUUCAACCACAGGUUUGAUUUUGAACCGAAGGAUGUCUCCAGUGUUAAUGAGGAUGUCCUACUGACAACUGGACUCCUCUGCAAAUACACAGCUCAACGGUUCAAGCCAAUUUAUAAAUUCUUUCAUAAAUCAUUCCAGGAGUACGUAGCAGGACGCAGACUCAGCAGCUUAUUGGUGUCUCAGGAGCCAGAGGAGGUGACCAAGGGGAACAGUCAUUUGCAGAAAAUGGUUUACAUUUCAGACAUUACAUCCAAGUAUAGCAACCUGCUCCUGUACACAUGUGGCUCAUCUGCUGAGGCCACCAGGACUGUUCUGAAACACCUUGCAGCUGUACACCAACAUGGCAGCCUCCUUGGGCUCUCCGUCACCAAGAGGCCUCUCUGGAGGCAGGAAUCUAUGCAAAAUGUGAAAAACACUACUGUGCAAGAAAUUCGGAAAGCCAUAAAUGUCAAUUCCUUUACAGAGUGUGGCAUCAAUUUAUUUCAUGAGAGUAUAUCCAAAUCAGACCUGAGUGAAGAAUUUGAAGCUUUCUUUCAUGGUAAAAGCUUAUAUAUCAACUCAGAGAACAUCCCUGAUUACUUAUUUGACUUCUUUGAACACUUGCCUAAUUGUGCAAGUGCUCUGGACUUCAUUAAACUGGAUUUCUAUGGGGGAGCCAUGACUUUGUGGGACAAGACCACAGAGGACAUGAGCGGGACCCACAAGGAAGAGUCCUCUGGAACCUACAUUCCCAGAAGGGCUGUGUCUUUGUUCUUCAACUGGAAGCAGGAGUUCAAGACUCUGGAGGUCACACUCCGGGAUUUCAGCAAGUUAAAUCAGCAAGAUAUCAAGUAUCUGGGGAAAAUAUUCAGUUCUGCUACAAGCCUCACACUGUCCAUUAAGAGAUGUGCAGGCAUGGCUGGAAACCUCAGUUCGGUCCUCAGAACCUGUAAGAACAUUCGCUCCCUUGCAGUGGAGGCCAGUCCCCUCACCCUGGAAGAUGAGCAGCACAUCACUUCAGUGACCAGCCUGAAAACCUUGAGUAUUCACAACCUACAGAUGCAACGGCUGCCAGGUGGUCUGACUGACAGCUUGGGUAAUUUGAAGAACCUCGUGAAGCUUAUGCUGGAUAACAUUAAGAUGAAUGAGGAAGAUGCUAUAAAACUAGCGGAAGGUCUGACAAACCUGAAGAAUAUGUGUUUACUUCAUUUGACCCGCCUGUCUGACAUUGGGGAGGGAAUGGAUUACAUAGUAAAGUCUUUGUCAGCUGAACCCAGUGACCUGGAAGAAAUCCAAUUAAUCUCCUGCUGUCUGUCGGCAAAUGCUGUGAAAACCCUAGCUCAGAAUCUUCACAAUUUGGCCAAACUCAGCAUUCUUGAUUUAUCUGAAAAUCACCUGGAAAAGGAUGGAAACGAAGCCCUACAGGAACUGAUUGACAGGCUGCAUGUCUUGGAACAGCUAAGUGUACUGAGGCUGCCCUGGUGGCGUGAUGUCCGAGUCAGUCUGACCAGGCUGCUGGAACAGCUGGAGCGGGCCCCGCAACUCGUCAAACUUGGGCUGAAAAACUGGAGACUCGAAGAUGCCGAGAUGAGAAUUCUAGAUGUUGAGUCUUACAUAUUGAAGGCAACACCCUCCACUGGCGAAAGGAUCAGGACUCCCUUUGAUGCGGUGGUCUGGAGUCACCCCUGCAAUGUCUCCGAGGCCUGCCUGCAUGCAACAAUGAAACAGAAAACUAAAGUAAAGAUUAGGGAAGCCUAAAAUUCGUUCUUUAAAAAAAGAGUAACAAUGCCCUGGCUGGUGUGGCUCAGUGCAUUGAGCGCUGGCCUGUGAACCUAAAGGUUGCCAGUUCGAUUCCCAAUCAGGGCCCUUGCCUGGGUUUCAGGCCAGUUCCCAACUGGGGGGCACGCGAGAAGCAUCCGAUUGAUGUUUCUCUCACAUAUCGAUAUUUCUCUCCCUCUCUGUCUCCCUCCUUUCCCUUCUCUCCAAACAUAAAUAAAUAACAUCUUAAAUAAAUAAAAAGAGUAACAAAAUAGAUAAAAUCAAGCAACACUGUUCAAGAAAAAAAGUGACAUAAUUUCACUCAUCAAAAUGGAGACACAGGCCCAAGUUCGUAGUGACUGAACAUUGCCCCAAACUGGAAGCUACUGAGAUGCCUUUUGGCAGGUGAACGGAUGAACAAACUGCGGUGCAGCCAUGCAGUAGUGUGUCAUUCGGGGGUAAGAAGAAAUGAGCCACUGAGCCAUUAAGUUUCCAAGGGGAAACUUAAAUAUAUAUUGCCAAGUGGGAGAAAAAGCAAGUCUUAAAAUGCCACCAAAUGUAUGAUUCAAUUUAUAUGGCAUUCUGGAAAAAGCAAAACUAUUGAGAGAGCAAAAAAGCUCAGUAGUUGCCAGGGGCUUAGGAGGAGGGAGGGUUAGGGUUAAAGAGAGGCAGCUCGGGGGACUCUUCAGGGUGGUGGAAAUAGUCUGUAUGAUGCUCUGAUCAUGCGUACUCGACCCUGCGUCUGUCAAGCCCAUAGAACUUUGCAGCAGCACAAGCGGCGAACCUUAAUGUACGCAAACUAAAAACAUCACUGAGGAGAUCUGGGACAUGGAGGUCAAAAUGCAGAAUGCAAAACAGCCUAACCACGUUACAGACUCUGAAACAAUCUCACUGAGGCGGAUGGGGGAAAGAAAUGGACCUAAAUGGUUUGGGGAAUGAUUUGGAAAACUAAAGGCAAAAUAACUUGUACCUAAGCACUGUACUUUAUUUGAUAGUUGACUCCAGUUGGGGUACAGGUUAACAACUCUGAUACUGCGGCAUACUUACGCUGGGACUGAGCAGUUAAGUAAACGGACGGCAGAGGACGGGGAGCCAGGUUCCCUGUGUGGGGAUGGGAAUUUACAGCAAGGGGAGCAGCCCAGGCUGGUUCAUGGUAAUAAAUUAGAAUUGGAGACAGCAGUAUGAGCUCAUGUCGUGUGUAGCUCAAUGUAGAUAUAGAUGUUACAUAGGGGAAACUAUAUGUAUAUGAAAGAUAAACAUAUGUAGUAUAAACAACCCAAAUGCUCCUCACUAGUGAAUAGAUUAAAAAAAUGUGGUACGUGCACACUACAGAGUAUUAUUCAGCCAUUAAAAGGAAUGGGCUAUUGGAACAGGCUACGAGAUGGAUGAACCUUAAAAAUAUCAUAUGAAGUGAAACCAGUCACAAAAAACCACAUGUUGUGCGAUUCUAUUUAUAGGAAGUGUCCGACAUAGGCAAAUUUAUAAUGACAGAAUGUAGAUUUGUGGUUGCCAAGGUCUGGGGGAGGGGGACUCAGGGGUCCGGGUUGCUUUCUGAGGAUGAUCAAAAUGUACCAGACAUUUUAAUUUGCUUGAUUUCUCCGUAGCAGCCGAUGCUGAGCAUUUCCUCCUUUUCAAAGUGUCCUCUUGACUUCCACGCCAGCUUAGCUACUCCUCAGUCUCCUUUGCAACAGCAGUUCCACUGCUCAGCUAUAAAAUGUUCCCAAUUUCCUUAGAACUUGGUCCUUUUCCUCAGGGACUACCUUUGAACUGCAAUGACCAUUUUCUACAAUUAUGACUCACAAAAUUUUGUUUCUAGCCCAUUGGCACUCUGGGACUACCAGAAAGAAAUUGUUACUAGCUCAGGGAUCUAUUUCACUUGUUCUAACAAACCCUGUAAAAA